AUGGCUCAGUGGUUAAAACUUCAUGUUGCUCUUGUAGAAACCUGAGUUUGUUUACUGACAUCCCCACUGGGGAACUCAUGACUCCCUGUAAGUCCAGCUCCAGGGAAUCUGAUAUCUCUAGCCUUGGCAAACACCUGCACUCACAUGCACACACCUACAGGCGUACACAUAAUUUAAAGUAAUAAAAUAAAUCUUUUUAAAAGGAUUCAUUGAUAAACAGCAAGAUAGCUUUAAAGGAAAAUCCAUGGGUAGCAAAUCCUAACUGAGGAGGCUCUGAAUCAGUGUGUUUAUUCUUAUGUCUGGCUUUCUGUCUUCUACUUCCUGCACCUAUGUUGGGGCCAAGAAGCCCAGGUCUCUGCUUGUGCCUAUGAUUGUGUCUUCUGGCCAGGCUCCGAACCACAGCAAUUGUGCAUCUGCAAAUCACUACCUCAGAAGCAAUUCGAAGAACAUGCAGGCAUUUAGAUGUCAAUGCCACCUAAAGCAAUCACAAGAUGGACGAGGACACCUGAGAAGAACUUACAGAAAGGGGGAGCUGGUGAAAGGAGAAGACACUCAGAACAACACUACCAUAGCCAGUGAUCACCACAUCUCAUGCAAACUGGAAUAGAAAAUUUGUUGACGUGUCUUGGGACUCUGCGGACUGUGUGCUACUGUUACCACAGCUAUGACUGACUGAUACAUUCCAUCACCAAAGACAUCCGUUCUUCAAGAAAUUUAGAUUUUAUGACUUAAGAAAAGGCUCAGGUCAGCAGAUAUAGAAGCUGUGACUCCAAAAGGAAAAACUCAAGAAUCUGAAACAGGUGACAUCAUCAUCAACUGAGAAGCCAAAGACACUGACUCCUCAGAGUUCCCAGAAUGCAUGCAAAAUCCAACCAACACACAAGCUCAACACAUUUACCGUCAGGAAGGCAACUCAGCUUCACCAUCCCAAAGCAAAGAAAGCAGAUACAAGAGUCCACAAGCUUGCACCUGUGUUAGAAGCAAAUUCACGGUAAUUUUCUCCACCUUCCCAGUCCCCACCUGCAGCUCUCGCUCCAAACCAUAAACCUGCCUCUUAAAGGAAUUACAAUCCAAGAGGGAAAACAGCAAGCAGGACAGAGCCUCUGUCUGUAAAUGCUGAUGCGUGAGGUACUGAGCUGGAUCCCCCAAAGCCACCAAGAGAAGGCUAGCCUUGAUGGUACAUGUUUGUAGUUCUAGUGGUAGGGAGGUAAAGACAGGUAUUCUAGGUAUCCGGAGCUACUUGGCAGCCCCAGCCCAGUGUGAUCUUGCCUCAAGGAAAGCAGAAAGGUAGCACCUGAACAACAGUGCCUUCACAGGCACACAGGUGUACCCCCCACCCAUGAAUACACACCAGCACACACACAAAAUUAAAUGGAUUCCUACGUGACUUCAUACUAUAGUGUAUAGCAUAUUGAGAAAACACUGGUGUUCAGGUUGGUUUGAGACUAGAAAUGCUGUAUUUAUCGGAAGAGUGGCUUGAUAGCCAACUUCGGAUCCCACAUGUGUUACAGGUCACAUAGAGGCAGCAUAGCCCACAUACAACCCAUGAGUCCUAUCUGGUCCAUGAAUCAUCCUCCCUCAGAAACGUGGGAAGAGCAAGAGUCAGAAAAACCAUGUUGGCCAGUUUCAUUUCCCUGCUGCUCGAGAAGCAGUUAUAAAACCCCCUCAAAAGCGAUGCUUUAAAACCACCUGGGUUCCUCUUGAUUGCCUCAUGGAAAAAUAAGAAAGCAGAUAAAUGUAAAACUCCUCGGGCUUGGGGUUUUCUUCUAAAGCUCUCCCGUACAUACAUGUGGCAGACUAAACUUUAUUCUCCCACCUUUCCUCAAGGGUGAAUGUUUAAGUCUCAAACCUCCCCCCACAGAAAUCUCCACUGAUUGCCCUCCUCAGAAUGUUACAGUGUUUGAAAACAAAGCUUUAGCAGGUAAUUAGAUUAGAAUAAAAUUAUUAGAUGGGCCCCAAUCCAAUCCCACCAAUAGCCUCAUAAAGAGAUUAGAACACAGGCAGCCAUUGAUAAGCCAGAGAAAGUAAGCCCAGAUAGAAAUCAGCUUGUGGACAUGUCUAUCUUAGACUCUUCAGGUCCCCAGAAUAGCAAGGAAACAAACUCCAGUACCCUAAGCCCAGGGACUUAGGGAGCCUAAGAAGUCAGACUCCUAAGGAUGAUGAGAGAUGACAAACCAUGCUGGACACUCCAGCAGCUGAGAGACGCCACAUUCUGCCUACCACAGCAAAGAAGAUCCCAAGGCUUUGUCAAACCCAUCCAAGUGGACAGCUAUGACAAGAGCUGGGACUGGUAGGCUGGGAUGGCUGUGAGAAAUGUAGAAUUUUCUAUAGAAAAUACAAGCAUAGAGGCAGACACAGCAUGGUGGCAGUAAACCCUACAGAUGGAUGUUACUGGGUGGUGCCACAUUAAGAUGAGAAUAAUAUUGAGGCAAUAUAGCAAAGCCAGAGACAUAGGUUAUAAGCAGGAAAUCCAGGAUCCAGAAAAACAAGGACAAAAAUAUGUUAGCGACCUCCUCGAAAGCACACAGUGUAGAAGACUGCUGACUUGUGCUGUUGGCAAACUGAAGAAUUACAUUGAAUUAUUUGAGAGCACAUCAUUGGCUGUACUUGAACUUACUAAACCUUUUAUUACUGAAAUACUUGGGACACAAUAAAAUGAAAAGCUAACAUUUAAAGAACUUUAAUCCUCAGUGUUCACCUAAAUAUGGAACAGAACCUGUGAAAUACGUAGAAAUAGUCAUAUCUUAAAGCCUUUGCCAAUCACCAUCGCGAUCCUAUUAUGAGAAAAUGCUAUAGAAUUACUUCUUAGAUUCAGACAAAAAUAUUGAAGGGCUUAUAAACAGAAAGAGAAAUGCCCAAAUCCGACAAAAUAUUGGGCAUUCAUGAAGCAAAUAUCUAGUAAUCCCUACCUUGUGACAAGAUGAAUGCAAUAAAACAAAUUUAUUUUUUAAAAGUGUCGCUUAGCCAAGUUGACUGAAGAUCUUUUAGGGCAAUAUUGUCAGGGAUGGAAAAAUACACACAUCCCAUAAGUUCUCUUUCUUCAAAAAUGUAUUAACUACUUUUAAUUGCAUACUUAUUGGAGGGUAUAUGAACAAGAGUGUAGGUGCCCAUG